UUACACUAAGAAAAGAUCAUCACAUGACUUUGUAGGCUUCCUAAAAGUGAUAAGCUGUUUUACAAAUGAGAAAGCUUUCUUGUUGAAACUCGAACUUGAAUGGUUAAUACUAGAAUUUAUUAUUCAAAUGGAGGCUGCAUGUGUGACAGGAAUCCCCAUAUAUGAUUUCUUCUUUGAGGUAUCACCUAGGAGAAAUGCCAUUCUGCAAAUGCCUUCAUCAUUCAUUCUCCCAGUUAUCCAAGCUUCAGCAAAAUAUAUCACCAUCAUCAACUGCCUGUCUCCUUUGAAUGCAAAUAAUUGCUUGUCAAAUAAUUCCUCAGAAAUAAUAUGUCUAGUGAUAUGAUUUGGCUGAGUCCCCACCCAAAUAUUAUCUUGAAUUGUAGCACCCAUAAUGCUCACAUGUCAUAGAAGGAACCUAGUGGGAGGUAAUUGAGUCAUGGGAGCAGUUACCCCCAUGCUGGUGCUCUCAUGAUACUGAGUGAGUUCCCAU
rnacentral:lncRNA from 10 species